rnacentral:lncRNA from 1 species
CUUUUAUCAUUUUUUUUGUUAACCCAAGGGACACCUAGGCUUCAUUUGUAAUUGUCGAGAGACAUAAAUGCUUUUAUUAAAAAAGUACAGAAAAAAAUAUUCUAUUUAUUUUUAUAUGUAAUAUUAUAUUUAAUUAUUUAUGAAUCUUUAUCUAUUUUUAUCUUAAUUCAGUCUUUUCAGUUAACGCUAGAUAUAGGCCUCAAAACCAAACAAAACCCUUAAAAUAAACUACA